AUUGCCCUUACGGCUCAGUAACACGUAGUCAACAUGCCCAGAGGACGUGGGUAACCUCGGGAAACUGAGGAUAAACCGCGAUAGGUCAUAAUUACUGGAAUGUGUUAUGGCCCAAAUCUAUAUGGCCUCUGGAUUGGACUGCGGCCGAUCAGGCUGUUGGUGAGGUAAUGGCCCACCAAACCUUUUACCGGUACGGGCUCUGAGAGGAGGAGCCCGGAGAUGGGCACUGAGACAAGGGCCCAGGCCCUAUGGGGCGCAGCAGGCGCGAAACCUCUGCAAUAGGCGAAAGCCUGACAGGGUUACUCUGAGUGAUUCCCGCUAAGGGAAUCUUUUGGCAUCUCUAAAAAUGGUGCAGAAUAAGGGGUGGGCAAGUCUGGUGUCAGCCGCCGCGGUAAUACCAGCACCCCGAGUGGUCGGGACGAUUAUUGGGCCUAAAGCAUCCGUAGCCGGUCCUGCAAGUCUUCCGUUAAAUCCAGCUGCUUAACAGAUGGGCUGCGGAGGAUACUACAAGGCUAGGAGGCGGAAGAGGCAAGCGGUACUCAGUGGGUAGGGGUAAAAUCCUCUGAUCCACUGAAGACCACCAGUGGCGAAGGCGGCUUGCCAGAACGCGCUCGACGGUGAGGGAUGAAAGCUGGGGGAGCAAACCGGAUUAGAUACCCGGGUAGUCCCAGCUGUAAACGAUGCAGACUCGGUGAUGGGUUGGCUUCGAGCCAACCCAGUGCCGCAGGGAAGCCGUUAAGUCUGCCGCCUGGGGAGUACGGUCGCAAGACUGAAACUUAAAGGAAUUGGCGGGGGAGCAC
rnacentral:rRNA from 1 species